UACAGAGGGCUCAAGCGUUGUUCGGAUUCAUUGGGCGUAAAGCGCGCGUAGGCGGCUUUGCAAGUCGGGUGUGAAAUCCCCAGGCUUAACCUGGGAACUGCAUUCGAGACUGCAUUGCUAGAGUAUGGGAGAGGGAAGUGGAAUUUCCGGUGUAGCGGUGAAAUGCGUAGAUAUCGGAAGGAACAUCAGUGGCGAAAGCGACUUCCUGGACCAAUACUGACGCUCAUGUGCGAAAGCGUGGGGAGCAAACAGG
rnacentral:rRNA from 1 species